AUGUCGUGUGCUGACAUAGUAUGCGAGGAGCUUUGGAGGCUGUCCAGAUUUCUGCUGAUACCAGUGCAUCUCCUCAGCUCCACUGCUGUGUCUGUAAACAGGUUGGUUUACUUUACAGUGCAGGAGGUUUUUGUACGACCACUUCAUGAGUUUGUAUCACUGUGGUACACUUUUGGUGGAGGAACCAAACUCAUCAUUGACUCCGGCUCCAGGGUCAGGCCCUCGGUCUCUCUGCUUCCCCCCUCCUCCCAGCAGCUCUCCGGGGGCUCGGCCACGCUGGCCUGCCUGCUGAGCGGCUACUCUCCUCCGGGAGCCGUGGUGAGCUGGGAGGUGGACGGCGCGGAGGUGACGGAGGGGGUCCUGACCAGCUCAGAGGAGGAGAAGAGCGGACGCUACAGCAGCAGCAGCACCCUGAGCCUGAGCCAGGAGCGCUGGAUGGAAGGAGAGCUGUACUCCUGCAAGGUCCUCCAUCACGACCACAGCCAGACCCAGUCCCUCCACAGGAGCCAGUGUCAGGCCUAGAGGGGCUGGCUGAAGCCCAGGACGGGAGCUGUGUGGGGGGGGAGCAGGAGGAACACACCUGCUGCUCUCAGCAAUAUGACUUUUAAUGUUUGUAGAGGAAACUAAAGCUUUGUGUGACAGAGAACAGCACUGCUGUAAAGUGUUGGACAGCAACAACUUAGAGAGUAAUGUGUGUAGCUCAGCAGCGAGAUGUGAGUGUGCUUCAUAACUGUCAUGUUGAUGGUUGAUGUUUGUGCUAAUAAAGCUUGAACUGAUCAAUAACUUGA